rnacentral:rRNA from 1 species
UACGUAGGGGGCAAGCGUUGUCCGGAAUCAUUGGGCGUAAAGAGCGUGUAGGCGGCCCGAUAAGUCCGCUGUGAAAGUCCAGGGCUCAACCCUGGAAUGCCGGUGGAUACUGUCGGGCUCGAGUUCGGAAGAGGUGAGUGGAAUUCCUGGUGUAGCGGUGAAAUGCGCAGAUAUCAGGAGGAACACCAAUGGCGAAGGCAGGUCUCUGGGCAUUAACUGACGCUGAGGAGCGAAAGCAUGGGGAGCGAACAGG